CUGCUAAUACCGCAUAAGCGCACGAGGAGACAUCUCCUUGUGUGAAAAACUCCGGUGGUACAGGAUGGGCCCGCGUCUGAUUAGCUGGUUGGCAGGGUAACGACCUACCAAGGCAACGAUCAGUAGCCGGUCUGAGAGGAUGAACGGCCACAUUGGAACUGAGACACGGUCCAAACUCCUACGGGAGGCAGCAUG
rnacentral:rRNA from 1 species